AUUGAACGCUGGCGGCAGGCCUAACACAUGCAAGUCGAGCGGAUGAAGGGAGCUUGCUCCUGGAUUCAGCGGCGGACGGGUGAGUAAUGCCUAGGAAUCUGCCUGGUAGUGGGGGGUAACGUCCGGAAACGGGCGCUAAUACCGCAUACGUCCUGAGGGAGAAAGUGGGGGAUCUUCGGACCUCACGCUAUCAGAUGAGCCUAGGUCGGAUUAGCUAGUUGGUGGGGUAAAGGCCUACCAAGGCGACGAUCCGUAACUGGUCUGAGAGGAUGAUCAGUCACACUGGAACUGAGACACGGUCCAGACUCCUACGGGAGGCAGCAGUGGGGAAUAUUGGACAAUGGGCGAAAGCCUGAUCCAGCCAUGCCGCGUGUGUGAAGAAGGUCUUCGGAUUGUAAAGCACUUUAAGUUGGGAGGAAGGACAGUAAGUUAAUACCUUGCUGUUUUGACGUUACCAACAGAAUAAGCACCGGCUAACUUCGUG
rnacentral:rRNA from 1 species